GGCUCUCUGUUGGAAAUGGUAGACAUUCCGGCCUCAAAAGCCGGUGCUCGAAAGAGCGUCCGGGUUCGAGCCCCGGGAGGGCCA
rnacentral:tRNA from 1 species